rnacentral:rRNA from 1 species
GCACCACAAGAGCGUGGAGUAUGUGGCUUAAUUUGACUCAACGCGGAAAAGCUUAUCUGGUCCGGACGCAGUGAGGAUUGACAGACAGUUUCAGGAGUGGUUCUUGGUAAACAAUUGAGAGAGUUGAAGUUCUUUCAUGAUCUUGUGAGAGGUGGUGCAUGGCCGUUCUUAGUUCGUGUAGUGAUAUGUCUGCCUAAUCGCGUCACGAUAACCUAUUGGUCGACAACCCAAUUAUCACAACUGCAGCAUAACUCCCCUUGGGUGGGCGAGGCUCUGUGUAGGAUAGACCUCUGAACAGUACGCAACGAACGCGAUCGUAAUCCCUUGUUGAGUGGCCAUCCUGUAAGCUGCUGGAUUAGGAACCCAGUGGUAUUAUCUCAGCCACAGAUUUUCUGGUUGUAAUGGGCCAGUUUUGAAACUCGGGGAACAUCUGUGACUUUCUUUCUUAACGCAAA